ACCACGUUGUUCGGGAUUCCCUGCAUUUUAAUUCGUAAUGACAGAUCAUAAAGUCUGCUGAAAUCACUGGAGGUUUUUGCUAGUUGGACCCUGCUCAUUAAUAUUUUGUGGCCCCGCCCCAACUCUUCCUGGUUGUCCGGUGUCAGAUCAAAGAAGGACCCAAACGCAGGACUCCAUGCAGGCAGGUUGAAUUGAAAGGAAAGAAAAGCAGGACAAGGGACAGCAGCAAACGGAGGGAGACCAGCUGGCACUGACAAUCAGAAACACUGAAUACACAAGAUGAUAAUCCACUAAUGACACACAGGUGGGGUGGAAAACUGGUGGGAAAAGGACCACGACAGGAAGUAACCCCAAACUGGACACAGGAGGGGGCCGAUGGUGUUAUGGCAGGGCGCCGCUGGAUUAAUUAGUAUUAGAUGGUGAAGGAUUUCUUUCCUCUCGGCGCCGCUUCAAGAGGCACAGAACAUGCAGAGAGGCAAAUUGAGACCGGAGCGUUCUAUUUAUUAAUGUAGAGAAAUCUAACUCAAAAGCACUGUGGACAUUUGCAACAAGGCACUU